rnacentral:rRNA from 1 species
UCGAACGAGAAAAGGGAGCAAUCCCUGAGUAAAGUGGCGCACGGGUGAGUAACACGUGGGUAAUCUGCCUUCUGGUGGGGAAUAACUCUGGGAAACCGGAGCUAAUACCGCAUAAGCCUGUCAAAGGGGAAAGGCGAAAGUCGCCGGAAGAGGAGCCCGCGGCCGAUUAGCUGGAUGGUGGGGUAAAGGCCUACCAUGGCUUUGAUCGGUAGCCGGCCUGAGAGGGCACACGGCCACACUGGCACUGAAACACGGGCCAGACUCCUACGGGAGGCAGAAGUGGGGAAUCUUGCACAAUGGGGGAAACCCUGAUGCAGCGACGCCGCGUGAGCGAUGAAGCCCUUCGGGGUGUAAAGCUCUUUCGACCCGGAAGAACACAAUGACGGUACGGGGAGAAGAAGCUGCGGCUAACUACGCGCCAGCAGCCGCGGUAAUACGUAGGCAGCGAGCGUUGUUCGGAGUUACUGGGCGUAAAGCGUGCGUAGGCGGUGAUCCAAGUCUGGUGUGAAAUCUCCCGGCUCAACCGGGAGGGUGCCCCGGAAACUGGAUUCCUGGAGUGCGGGAGAGCCAAGCGGAAUUCCCGGUGUAGCGGUGAAAUGCGUAGAGAUCGGGAGGAACACCUGCGGUGUAGACGGCUUGCUGGACCGCCACUGACGCUGAGCACGAAAGCGUGGG